rnacentral:lncRNA from 1 species
CUGGCGAGUUGAACAGAAACUUGGUUAUUACGAGAUGAACUUGUAUGGGGCUAUAUAUGCAUGCGCAUGUGUUGAUAGAUACUGCAGACGUAGAUAUCUAGAUAUACCGGGGUUGGAGGGGAAGAAAGUUGGCCUGACAUUUACGGCGGCUGCAUCUGCGACAUGACUAUAUUGCUAUACAGUGGCUAUAGUCGUCGGUAAACUAGCAGGUCUGAUCUUUCAGUCAUGGAAACGGUUUACAUGUGCGGUCCGCAGCAGAAGGGGCUCCAUAAAUUGAAUGUUUUAGUGCUGUGCUACGUACUAGUGGAAUGAUUUACUGGCCGCCUUAUUGAAAAACGAAUAUACUCAACUACUCAAGUUAGUGACAACAAAGAUAAGAUUGACGGAUGCAAAAGUAAAGUGGCUUUAAUAUUGCUUUGGAUUGAUUUCAAUAUUUACUUUUGGUGUGCUAUACUUUUUCACAUAAUACAAAUGCAAAAUAAGAUUUUAUUAGUUUUAGUUUUGAAAAUUAUUGAAACGAACACUUUUCUUUUAAUGUAGAAAUUACCAUUCUGAAUUGAAACCCAUUGAACCCUUCGUCGGUUCCGCCCCCUUCGUCGGUUCGUCCUAGGGAAAUCUGGGUUCUGAAAUUACGGAGGGGAUUGCUAUAAAGUAUAAACUAUAUUUGUAAGUGUGAGUCUGAUCACCCAUGAAAGUGAACUUCCCAUUGACCAUAUAUGUUGCGGCCAAAGCCCUAGAGAGGGUGCAGUCGCCUCCAUGUCAAGUGCAGCGGGUGGUAGUAUCGGUUUGGGGGCAGUAGGGCAAACAUCGUUGUUAUAGAAGAUCACGGAGCAUGCCUUCAACAUACCAACCAAGUUCUGCACAUCAUAUUCAAAAACCUGUGUCAUUCAGUUCUCACUAGAAACUAGUUUUAGCAUUUAAAUUAUUUAUCUGAUAAAAAAAUAUCCAUUUAAAAUUCACGACUUUACAUAUAAUAUCGUAGACCAAUUUCCACAUUAUUUGAAACUUUUGAAUAGAAUAUAACAGCUAGCUAACGAUAAGUAUCGGUCCUCUUUUCAAAAAGAUUCAUUUUGAUAAAAGUAGUCCGCUUUCCCUUUGCAUUUUACAACUGUAUUCCAUCGAUCUUUACUAUACAAAUCUAUAAUCAAAUAACACUUUAGGAGUUUAGGGUAGAAGUUGAACCACGUUUUUCAUGCUUCUGGGGCAUAGAAUUUUAUAAGUGCUUCAAUAAUUAAAGUUAGGGUUCUUCACUUUAAUGCAUCAUGCAUCAACAGAAAUAAAAAGUUUGAGAGCAAUCUGUCCCGGGGGAGAGGAAACAAAAAAGAGCAAAAGUGUUGUAGAGAUGCACGAUGACUGAAAUAGCACUACGCAUUACGUGAAACACGAGCGCUUGAUUAACGAGUUAGAUUAGAUAACACACAUAUAUAUAUAGUUACCUGGGACAGAAACACGACCAAGUUGAACAGAAACUUGGUUAUUACGAGAUGAACUUGUAUGGGGCUAUAUAUGCAUGCACGAAUGUGUUGAUAGAUACUGCAGACGUAGAUAUCUAGAUAUACCGGGUUGGAGGGGAAGAAAGUUGGCCGGACAUUUACGGCGGCUGCAUCUGCGACACGACUAUAUUGCUAUACAGUGGCUAUAGUCGUCGGUAAACUAGCAGGUCUGAUCUUUCAGUCAUGGAAACGGUUUACAUGUUUGUAAGUUUGUUCAUUGAUUCGAUAUAAAUUGAAUGUUUUAGUGCUGUGCUACGUGCUAGUGGAAUGAUUAACUGGUCGUCUUAUUGAAAAACGAAUAUACUCA